UCGUGACCUGAACCGAAGUUGGAUGCUUCACCGACCGAGCCACCCAGUAAACACCGACAACCAGCCUUUCACAGAGCUUUUAAACGGAAAAAUAUCAAGCCUUGUCGUCCAGACCAUGACAUCGGGUUGAGGGCGAGGGCAGGCGAGCCGUGAGCCCCGCAGAGCAGGGCCGAACAGCAGCUCUUUGUCAAGCCGCCCUUCACAGCCCGCCGAGGCCUCGGGCACAGGCCCCCCCGGACCUGUGCCGCUAACUGUGCGCCCGCCCCCCCC